rnacentral:rRNA from 1 species
GAUGAACGCUGGCGGUGUGCCUAAUACAUGCAAGUCGAGCGAACAGACGAGGAGCUUGCUCCUCUGACGUUAGCGGCGGACGGGUGAGUAACACGUGGAUAACCUACCUAUAAGACUGGGAUAACUUCGGGAAACCGGAGCUAAUACCGGAUAAUAUAUUGAACCGCAUGGUUCAAUAGUGAAAGACGGUUUUGCUGUCACUUAUAGAUGGAUCCGCGCCGCAUUAGCUAGUUGGUAAGGUAACGGCUUACCAAGGCAACGAUGCGUAGCCGACCUGAGAGGAUGAUCGGCCACACUGGAACUGAGACACGGUCCAGACUCCUACGGGAGGCAGCAGUAGGGAAUCUUCCGCAAUGGGCGAAAGCUUGACGGAGCAACGCCGCGUGAGUGAUGAAGGUCUUCGGAUCGUAAAACUCUGUUAUUAGGGAAGAACAAAUGUGUAAGUAACUAUGCACGUCUUGACGGUACCUAAUCAGAAAGCCACGGCUAACUACGUG